GAAUCGCCCCGUCAAGGUUUUAUGGUUCCAUCACCCGUUGCAUCAAAUGGGGGGGAAAAAGAAUUUCAAGAAAAAUGAAGAUGCACACGCUGCCAGGAACGGGAUCCGGAUCGUCGGCCAUCGACUAUUUUGCCAGAACAGUUUAAGCUUUGUGUGAGCAUCUUUUUGAAAUUGACAAAUUCAUCGCAUUUUUUUACACGGCUCAUGACAAGUUUACAACAGUACCGAUUAACCAUCGAUACACGCGUGUUUCAUGUCUGGUGAUGAUCCGCUGAAAUUUUUAAAACCUUUUCUUUUUAUAUUAGUAGAAGGGGACGAGUGGGUGUAUGGGAUAAGGCGUCAUUUAGGAGUAGGUGCAGUGGUGCACCUGGAGACCAGGGUUCGAACCCCCUGGUGAGCUUUGUUGGUUGGUCAUACACCCGCUCUGGCGCCACUGUGGCGUCACAUGGACCCCGUGACUUGCUGCUGGAGAGGGAACUCGGGAGGGUUGGCUGGGGGACGGUUUUCGUCGAUAUUGGGAUCGGUCCAAUAUUCCUCAGCGCAAAAGGCAAAUGAAAUGUGGAAUAAUGGGAAAUUGGCGCUGUAUAUCUGGCAGAGCAAAGGGCCCUUAUUUGCGCAGUCAUUGGGUUAAUUGCCUUGUUUCCGUCGUGUUGAAUUGGGAAUGUGUUGCAUACAAGUGGGUGCUGGCUCUGUACGACUAGUCGAAUAAUCUCAGUGAUCAUAUGCGCGUUGCUUCCGCACGAAUCCAACAAUGUUGUCCUUGUCAUACACCGCCCGGUGUAUCAUGUGGGCAACAACUUGUGAAAUGCGUGUAUGUGAGGGAUUAUUUGUGCUAGUUUCAGAUCCGUAUAUCCAGCCUAGAGCCGGGCAGUUGCGUCCCCGGCCCCAUCCACUAUCAUUGUUAAAAUUGUUAUGUCAAUUAUAGAAUAUUUGGUAUCAACAAGUAGUACACACACACAGCGGCGGAUGUGCUCCUUCUCCUUGCUAUUUAGUGGUCAUAUUUAAACUUUUUCUGUUCCUUUUCUGAUUUUAAAAUAAUUUUAUUUCAUUUUUAAUUUAUAUCAAUUUCAAUUUUAUUUUUCCGGGCUCUAAAUAUAGCUCUAAAUAUGAGCUCUAAAUAUACCUGAUUCCCACAAUCUCCAUUCCUAACGAAUUGUCUAAUUUGACUAGUAACAACAUUGUAUCGAUAUUUAGUUCUCCAUCGAUUUGAUAGUCGAUUAAUAAUUGGUAAACAUUGAAAUUUCGUCUGCUCUUUCAACAAGCGAAUACUAAGAAGGAGAAAAUCUACAACGUCAUCAAGUGUCUUUGUCAUUUCACCCGAUUUGUGAGCGAGAUGAAACAUCUGUUAGACUGUGACAGCUAAAUGGUAAUAUUCUAGUUUGCGAUAAUAUGUGCAAUGCACCAGGAUCUAUAGCUGUUCGAGUGGGUGUCAGAAACUCAGAAUGGACCUUAAUUUUGAGAUCAUUGGCGUUUAUAAAGGGAAAUGAACCACUUGUUAAAACAUCCAUCACAUUCAUUCUAUCUGAAUUGCUUUUCCCAUUUUAUAUCUAAUCCAUAGAACAGGAGGAGAAACAAAGCACCAGAAGACAAUUUACUCAAUUAAGUUCCUCUCAAUGAGUUUGACUCCCCUGGAAGUCAGAUCAAUCCUGCCAAGCAAAAUGGAGCCCGAGGAGGUUGAUUCGACUCCACACAAUUCUGGUGAAUGGAUAGUAAUUGGUAGCCUCAAGCCCUCUCAACAUUUUAAUUUCGCAAUGUUAUUGCCCGUUUCGUCUUCUAGAAGAUCAAGACAAUCUCGAUACAGACACUGAUGUGAUGGCCGAGUCUACCACAACGGCAUUGAACCGUUGGCAUCAGUCGAGUCCCAUUCGUUCACCCUGGGACGUAGAGCAGCGAUUGAGACUAUUGUGGCGCGAGUAUUUCUCUCUGGUGGUUAGUGUGCAGCUAAACAAAAUGGGUGACGGCGGCGGAAACCGCUCUCAACAGCCAGUAGCGCCGGAUUGCGGAGGCGAUAACAACCAUCGAGAACUCUUUAUCGUCUCUGGGAUCUCGACCAUUGUGGAAACUGGAAUGUGUCACCAGUUUAUCUUCCCCCUAACAUCAUGGAAGAUGGAUUAUUCGAAAAUGUCCAUUAGAAAAAAACUAAGAAACCGUUGGGAGGAAAUACCGAUCCGGCGAACAGUGCUCCUCUUUCCCGUUGCCAGGCAACAAUUUCUUCCACGCUGCUCGUCUACUGAAAAGGAGAAUGCGUUGAAUAGUAAAUUGAUGUGCGGAUGAAGACGAUUUCGUGCUAGUCGGAGAUGCAAUAGAUUUAUCUAACCGAAUGGAGUGGAUUUGGAGGAAGAUCUGUAUUUACCUGUUUUUAGUACUGUUGCAAUGUGUGACAGAUGGUUUUUCUUGACUAAAUUUUUUCUUGAAUUCAAGUUUGUACCAGUUAAAUUUAAUGGUGUAGACUGUUUUGAUUUGUGUUAACUGGUGUAAGAUAUAUUUUUGAAACCAAGUACUGGGUGAAACUGGUUUCAAUAUGGUUAAUAAGAACAUCAAUCAUUUUAUAAAUCAAGACUUCUAAACCUGUGGACCAUCUCAACAAUUACGCUAAAUAUAAGUAACUGAAAUUUCAGCUAAGUGUGAAAUAUUUAUUGUAAUACCAAUUGGAAAUACAAGUACAACGUUGAAUAACAAGAUAAA
rnacentral:lncRNA from 1 species